GAUGAAGAACGAAGUGAAAUGCGAUAAGUAAUGUGAAUUGCAGAAUUCAGUGAAUCAUCGAAUCUUUGAACGCACAUUGCGCCCGCCAGUAUUCUGGCGGGCAUGCCUGUUCGAGCGUCAUUUCAACCAUCAAGCCCCCGGCUUGUGUUGGGGACCUGCGGCUGCCGCAGGCCCUGAAAAGCAGUGGCGGGCUCGCUGUCACACCGAGCGUAGUAGCAUACAUCUCGCUCUGGGCGUGCUGCGGGUUCCGGCCGUUAAACCACCUUCAUAACCCAAGGUUGACCUCGGAUCAGGUAGGAAGACCCGCUGAACUUAAGCAUAUCAAUAAGCGGAGGA
rnacentral:misc_RNA from 1 species